CCUACGGGAGGCAGCAGUGGGGAAUCUUGCGCAAUGCACGACAGUGUGACGCAGCAACGCCGCGUGGGGGAAGAAGGCCUUCGGGUUGUAAACCUCUUUCAGGAAGGACGAAGCCUCGGCCGCGAAUAGCGGUCCGAGGUGACGGUACUUCCACAAGAAGCCCCGGCUAACUACGUGCCAGCAGCCGCGGUAAUACGUAGGGGGCUAGCGUUGUCCGGAAUCAUUGGGCGUAAAGCGCGCGUAGGCGGCCAGAUAAGUCCGGUGUGAAAGUCACAGGCUCAACCUGUGAAUGCCGCUGGAAACUGUCUGGCUAGAGUCCGGAAGGGGCGAGUGGAAUUCCUGGUGUAGCGGUGAAAUGCGCAGAUAUCAGGAGGAACACCAAUGGCGAAGGUAGCUCGCUGGAACGGUACUGACGCUGAGGCGCGAAAGCGUGGGGAGCGAACAGGAUUAGAUACCCUGGUAGUCCACGCCGUAAACGAUGGGCACUAGGUGUGGGGAGGUGUCGCUCCUCCUGUGCGACGCUACGCAUUAAGUGCCCGCCCGUCGGGGAGGUACGGCCGCGACGGACGUAAACGUUAAAGUAAGUAGUAGCGNGNGAGAGCGACGACGACGACGACGGAGGAGGAGG
rnacentral:rRNA from 1 species